rnacentral:rRNA from 1 species
AGCGAACGCUGGCGGCAGGCUUAACACAUGCCAGUCGAGCGGGCGUAGCAAUACGUCCGCGGCAGACGGGUGAGUAACGCGUGGGAACGUACCUUUUGGUUCGGAACAACACAGGGAAACUUGUGCUAAUACCGGAUAAGCCCUUACGGGGAAAGAUUUAUCGCCGAAAGAUCGGCCCGCGUCUGAUUAGCUAGUUGGUGAGGUAACGGCUCACCAAGGCGACGAUCAGUAGCUGGUCUGAGAGGAUGAUCAGCCACAUUGGGACUGAGACACGGCCCAAACUCCUACGGGAGGCAGCAGUGGGGAAUAUUGGACAAUGGGGGCAACCCUGAUCCAGCCAUGCCGCGUGAGUGAUGAAGGCCCUAGGGUUGUAAAGCUCUUUUGUGCGGGAAGAUAAUGACGGUACCGCAAGAAUAAGCCCCGGCUAACUUCGUG